rnacentral:sRNA from 2 species
CGACCCACCAAUCGCUAAGGUGGAACGCGAUUGUAAAACGUGAAGGAUAACGUUGCGUAAGCAACGGCCCGUAGGGCGAGGCAAAGCCGAGUCAUCCUGCACGACCCACCA